GAUGAACGCUGGCGGCGUGCCUAAUACAUGCAAGUCGAGCGAACGGACGAGAAGCUUGCUUCUCUGAUGUUAGCGGCGGACGGGUGAGUAACACGUGGAUAACCUACCUAUAAGACUGGGAUAACUUCGGGAAACCGGAGCUAAUACCGGAUAAUAUUUUGAACCGCAUGGUUCAAAAGUGAAAGACGGUCUUGCUGUCACUUAUAGAUGGAUCCGCGCUGCAUUAGCUAGUUGGUAAGGUAACGGCUUACCAAGGCAACGAUGCAUAGCCGACCUGAGAGGGUGGUCGGCGACCCUGGAACGGAGACGCGGUCCAGACUCCUACGAGAGGCAGCAGUAGGGAACCUUCCGCAAUGGGCGAGAGCCUGGCGGAGCAACGCGGCGUGAGAGAUAAAGGUCUUGGGAUCGUAAAGCUCGGUUAUGGGGGAAGAACAGAUUUGGAAGGAGCUGUGCAGAGCGUGACGGUACCUAAUCAGAAAGCCACGGCUAACUACGUG
rnacentral:rRNA from 1 species